rnacentral:misc_RNA from 1 species
GUUCAUUCCAUAAAAAAUGCAUAGUUUGAAAGAAAUUGAUUUUUUUGGUGUAGGUAUGCUUUUUUUUCUUAAAUUGCUAACUUCCAAAAUCGUCUUCUUUACAAGUUUAUACAUGUAUACCGACCAAAAAUAUGAAGCUAAACACUUUUUUCUUCAAAACAAACAAUUUGUAGUAUUUUGUACCGUAGGUACACAUUAUACGCAAAACAUUCAGUUAAGUAUUAAAUAUUAAUAAUAUUAUCUUUUACUAUUGCAAUUUAUUGUAUACAAUAUUUUCCCUCCAAUUUAUGCUAAUAUACACAAUUAUAUUUUUUAACUAUACCCAUUAAUGUACCUAUAUUUAUUUGUUGUUUUUUGAUUUUUUUGAGCCAUCUGCUUGUACGUGUUACACCGGCGUUUUGUAUUGGUCAUCUGUGUGUCAGUUAAGUGUCACUGGUUACCUAUCUGGUAUUUGAAUAGUUUUUUCAAGUUAAAAAUAUAUGACUUCAAAGAGCAUCAUCAAGCUUUCGUGCAUCAUAAAUUUUUUUGAUGACAAAAAAAUAUUUUCGAAGGAAGAAAAUUCAUUUGAAUGUGGUUAUGUCAUGAGCUUCAAUUAUAUACCUGAUAUUGGUAUAAUUAGUGGUCAAGUGCAUGCUAGUAUGAAAAAUAAAUUGUACGAUAUUAAGAUAUUCUUCAAAGACAAGAAUAUUGAUCAUGCCAGUUGCACAUGUUCAACAGGUUUGACAAAAUGUCAUCAUAUGGUUUCACUUCUUUUACAUGGGCAUACAAAUAUAUCAGUGACUGAUAGGUACAGCCUGCAGCUGGUCAAAAAAAUGUGCGAAAGAAAAUGAAGAACCUUAUGCUUUGAUAAAUGAUCAACAGCUAAUCAAACAGUUGGGUUUUCGUGGUUAUUAAGUCCAGAACCUCCAGUUGAAGAUUUUAGUAAAAUUAUUCUCUUAGAAAAUGUUUUAAACUCCUCAGAAUUUAGAACUUCAAAAAAUAGUAUACAAAUGUUGUCUGAGCUUUGUAAAUUAUCUUUUGAACAAAUUAAAGAUAUAGCUUCAAAAACCAUAGGACAAAGUCAAAAUGUUAAAUGGUGUCUUCAUAGAAAAUUUUGUUUAACAUCUAGUAAUUUUCAUUAAGUAAUUAAAUCAGUAAAAAAUAAUUGAUACCCUAAUUCACUUUAUAAAAGUCUCCUAGGUAAAUAUUUUAUAGAAGGAAUAAAAUCUAUUGAAUGUGGAAAAACAAAUAGAUAUAUUGCAAUUGAAGAAUUUGAGAAGGCUAACAAUUGUAUUGUGACUAAAACUGGUAUUUGGUUACAUGAAUCUGGGUUUUUGGGAGCCAGUCCAGAUGGUUUGCUUUUUGAUGACAACUCUUCAUAUUGUAUUGAAGUCCCUAUAAGUGUCCCUAUAAAUUCCGAAAUGAAGAUUUAAAAAUUGCCCUUACAAAUUCAAAUGAUUACAUUAUUAACUUUGAUACAAACAAAAAUGAUUUUGUUUUAAAUUCUGAACAUCAGUAUUAUGACCAAAUUCAAGGUCAAAUGCACAUGACAAAAAUAUCAUCUACAAUUCUUAUUAUAUGGACUUCAAAAUUCUUAGUUGCUUUUAAAAUUAAUCAAGAUCCGAAUUGGUCAUUAAAUAUUCAUAUUUCAUUACAUUUUUACCAUCAAAAAUUGAUUCCAUAUAUUUUAACAGAUUUUAACUGAUUAUUAUACAUAAAAUAAUUUAGGUAUAUUAUAUAAUAAGCAUAUGUAUGCUAUGCUUGGAUUAAUUUGAUAACAUAAUUUAAACAAAUUAAUAAAUAU